rnacentral:lncRNA from 1 species
UCUCAAUUUAUUUAACCAAUAUCCAACAGUAUGACCGAAAUGGCAACCGGCAAUCUAUCCGUGUUAUUUGUUAUCAUUUCCAUUGCUAUGCCAUUACUGAUAGGCAUUCUGGCCAAGGUGGCCAGAGAUUACUGUAAGAAACCAACAUCAGCAUCAUGGACUGCCUAAGGAAGGAUUAUUCUUCAACAUCAGUUUGUAUUUUUUGAGCAAUAUAGUUUUUAAGAUCCUCUUCAGCAAUAAAUUACUAAUUUAUAGCUUUGAUUAUGCUGAUAUUUGAAGAAUUGCGCCUGCUCUUUGUUUUGUAGUGUUCUAUAUAAUGUAGUUUUUAAUGUAAUAAAAUAA